UUAAUUAGAGACAUGGAGAGCCAAAGAACAAGAUACCUGUGCGGAGAGCCUGGGAGGCAUUUCCAUAGGCUCCUUUUCAAGUGAAUGUUAAAGCCCCCAUGUUAAAGCAAAGAAAAGACUCAUACCAUCCUCUGGCAAGCAGCAGAAAGAUGAAUCAUGUCAAUCCCAUGUGGAACUGAGCUGCCUGGAGUCUGGUUUUCAGUCUUUGUAAGGUCCCUCAAAUCCUGCCUGCGUUAGUAGCACAAAUCUCCCAAUUUUACCUUCUCGGCCCCUUUGAUUGCAUCAAGUGCUUUUUGCCUGUUAGCAGCUGGCCUCUGCCUGCCUUUUCAUCUUCUUGCCCUAAGUUAAGAUAUAACAUGUCACCUGAGGUGAAAAAAAUCUUUCAAAAAUAAAAUUCACUUGGUAAGUUCUGUAUUCUCCAGAAGCUUUGGACCUCAAUUCAUUGGCUGUCUCAGCAACUUUCUAAUGCCUUCAAACUUAUGUCUUUUGAAUGUUAGCCAACUUUCCUAAUUAUCCU